GCACUGCUGACGAGCCCCAUAAUAGGACGAAACGGCCGUCCAGUGU
rfam:Schistosoma rodhaini strain Burundi genome assembly, scaffold: SROB_scaffold0000776